AUAAGUUCCCCCGGCUAGACGCACGAUCUUUCAACUACUCGAGUCGGUUUAGUUUUGACCUGAUGAGUUUGCACAAGCAACGUAUUGAAGUUUGGGAAAAUGAGUUAUCGCCAUCAUGACAUUGUUCUACCAUUAUCCAUUCAUCUUUUAUUGAAAGAGUAGAUCCAAACGGGUAUAAUUGGAUAAGUUUAAGCAACGAGACAAAGCUAUUUUACUGGAAUGAGUUUGAGAAAUAGUGUUGUUGUGAUGAUGCAAUAACUUAUAAUGUGAAGACUUCAUGGGAAACCAAGGCGAAGAAGAGAUACAGAUAAUAUAUGCGUUCAACAACAAAAAAAUCCAACCAGAAAAAAAAAGUCGUGGCACAUAUCAUCGAAGUGCGGACAUCUUGGAAUGCAAAAUGGAAUUAUAAAGAAUUCAAGAUCACAAGACAUCAAAACAAAAUGUGGGAAACUUGAACAACUACUUGAACAAGCAAUUAGUGAUAGAGUAUCAUAUAUAUUGAACUAGUUUAUAGCCCGUGGGAACUACGGUUACAAACUUAAUUAAAUUUUAAUAUU